rnacentral:pre_miRNA from 1 species
CGGGGGCUGGGGGGGUCCCUCAGCCCAGAUUGCGAGAGGGCGCAGGCCAGGCCAAGGGACCCCACCAGUGCAAG